rnacentral:misc_RNA from 1 species
UCUCCGUUGGUGAACCGGCGGAGGGAUCAUUACAGAGUUGCAAAACUCCCAAACCAUUGUGAACGUUACCUAUCCCGUUGCUUCGGCGGGCGGCCCGGGCCCCGCGCCCGGCGCCCCCCGGCCCCCCGUGGGCGCCCGCCGGAGGUAAACCAAACCCUUGAAUUGCAUGGCCUCUCUGAGUCUUCUGUACUGAAUAAGUCAAAACUUUCAACAACGGAUCUCUUGGUUCUG